rnacentral:rRNA from 1 species
AUUGAACGCUGGCGGCAUGCCUUACACAUGCAAGUCGAACGGCAGCAUGGGUGCUUGCACCUGAUGGCGAGUGGCGAACGGGUGAGUAAAGUAUCGGAACAUGCCCUGAAGUGGGGGAUAACGUAGCGAAAGUUACGCUAAUACCGCAUAUUCUGUGAGCAGGAAAGCAGGGGAUCGCAAGACCUUGCGCUUUAGGAGUGGCCGAUAUCGGAUUAGCUAGUUGGUGAGGUAAAGGCUCACCAAGGCGACGAUCCGUAGCGGGUCUGAGAGGAUGAUCCGCCACACUGGAACUGAGACACGGUCCAGACUCCUACGGGAGGCAGCAGUGGGGAAUUUUGGACAAUGGGGGCAACCCUGAUCCAGCCAUGCCGCGUGAGUGAAGAAGGCCUCCGGGUUGUAAAGCUCUUUCGGCCGGGAAGAAAUCGUAUGGGUUAAUACCCUGUGCGGAUGACGGUACCGGCAUAAGAAGCACCGGCUAACUACGUGCCAGCCGCCGCAGUAAUAC